UACGAACCGUGCGAACGUUGUUCGGAAUCACUGGGCUUAAAGGGCGCGUAGGCGGGCUGCCAAGUCUGGGGUGAAAUCCCACGGCUCAACCGUGGAACUGCCUCGGAUACUGGCGGCCUCGAGGGAGGUAGGGGCAUGCGGAACUGUGGGUGGAGCGGUGAAAUGCGUUGAUAUCCACAGGAACUCCGGUGGCGAAGGCGGCAUGCUGGACCUCUUCUGACGCUGAGGCGCGAAAGCCAGGGGAGCAAACGGG
rnacentral:rRNA from 1 species